GCUUUGGGAAUCCAGGCAGCACAGCUCAUGCAAGGAACGUAGGAAUGUUGCACUGCUUUGUGAGCCUGGGAACGGGUUUUUAUUGUAUAUGUAUUUAGAUUUUGUCUUUGUGUCUUAGUUGUUGACGUUUAUUUUUAUUAAAAUAAUGGUGAGGUUGAAAUAUGGAAUAAAUACAAUUAGGUUUUAUGGUAACCAUCACCUGGUCAGUCACUGUGUCGCCUGAUAUCCAGUAAGUUGCACCAGCUCCUAAUCGACAUACGUGUCUGAGUGCUGGCUCUAUGUUUAGAUGGCUUUAAUAUUUUUGGACACUUCGUAGUUGAGUUUCCCCUGCAGGCCAUGGGAUGAUACAGUUGCAAGAGAACAGUGAUUAAAUGUAUAUAGCUCACAUUCUCCACCGCCCAGUCUUUUCUCCCACUUAUACCUGAAAUCAGUGUAAGCAUUUCUGACUAUGUAUAUGCUGUUGAAUGGCAUUAAAUUUGGAUAUUUUUCUUAAUUAUGCAAAAUAUUGGAGGUCCGACUAAUGUUCUGGUGGAUAAUACAAGGUCUUUGAAUACUGGAUUACUUGUCACAUUAAACUUCAUUCUCUGAGCGUGGUGUUUCUAAAGAAUAGAUGUGUUAAAAAUGGUUUUGAUUUACACUUCCAUUUCCUGAUUAGAUAUAGAAAUACCUUCUGUAAACGACUCCCGUUUGUUGAUUGAAAGACCGUAAAUUGGGAGAGUUUCCAUCUGAAAAAUACUGUCCUGGGCACCAGAAGCCUGGUGUGAUCUCAGCACGGAGGCCCUCCGCCGGCGGCUCUGGGGGUCAGGAGCAGGGCGCGUGCGGCAGCCUCCCCCGGUGCACUUUAUUGCCUGAUCUUUUUUGACUUUGAGCCUUUUUAGUUAGUUUCAGUAAUAAAAUUUAAGACGUUUUGGAAUUACGUUUUAUGUAACAGACUUUGACUUAUUAUUUAAAUAUGUGUGAUGUAAUUUUUUUCUUUGAAUCCCAUAAACCUUUUUUGAUU
rnacentral:lncRNA from 1 species